CACAACUUCUGUUGAAGAAACUGGCAUGAGAGAUGUAACUGAAGGAACCCCUGCUCCUGGAACCUCAACCACAAAAUGCCCCGUAUCACUCCCACCAACUCCAGUUUGUCAUGGUCCACUGGGAGAAGAAAAACAUCCUGGAGACGUAUGGACUUCCAAUUGCCACAGAUGUACUUGUACUGACGCAAAUUCUGUUGACUGUAAAC